UACGAGUGGCCCGAGCGUUAAUCGGAAUUACUGGGCGUAAAGCGCACGUAGGCGGAUCAGUCAGUCAGGGGUGAAAUCCCGGGGCUCAACCCCGGAACUGCCUUUGAUACUGCUGGUCUGGAGGAUGAGAGAGGCGAGUGGAAUUCCGAGUGUAGAGGUGAAAUUCGUAGAUAUUCGGAGGAACACCAGUGGCGAAGGCGGCUCGCUGGCUCAUUUCUGACGCUGAGGUGCGAAAGCGUGGGGAGCAAACAGG
rnacentral:misc_RNA from 1 species